rnacentral:rRNA from 1 species
GAUGAACGCUGGCGGCGUGCCUAAUACAUGCAAGUCGAGCGAACAGACGAGGAGCUUGCUCCUCUGACGUUAGCGGCGGACGGGUGAGUAACACGUGGAUAACCUACCUAUAAGACUGGGAUAACUUCGGGAAACCGGAGCUAAUACCGGAUAAUAUAUUGAACCGCAUGGUUCAAUAGUGAAAGACGGUUUUGCUGUCACUUAUAGAUGGAUCCGCGCCGCAUUAGCUAGUUGGUAAGGUAACGGCUUACCAAGGCGACGAUGCGUAGCUGACCUGAGAGGGUGAUCGGCCACACUGGAACUGAGACACGGUCCAGACUCCUACGGGAGGCAGCAGUAGGGAAUCUUCCGCAAUGGGCGAAAGCCUGACGGAGCAACGCCGCGUGAGUGAUGAAGGUCUUCGGAUCGUAAAACUCUGUUAUUAGGGAAGAACAAAUGUGUAAGUAACUAUGCACGUCUUGACGGUACCUAAUCAGAAAGCCACGGCUAACUACGUG